UACGUGGGUGGCGAGCGUUGUCCGGAUUUACUGGGCGUAAAGGGAGCGUAGGCGGAUUUUUAAGUGAGAUGUGAAAUACUCGGGCUCAACUUGAGUGCUGCAUUUCAAACUGGAAGUCUAGAGUGCAGGAGAGGAGAAUGGAAUUCCUAGUGUAGCGGUGAAAUGCGUAGAGAUUAGGAAGAACACCAGUGGCGAAGGCGAUUCUCUGGACUGUAACUGACGCUGAGGCUCGAAAGCGUGGGGAGCAAACAGG
rnacentral:rRNA from 1 species